rnacentral:rRNA from 1 species
UACGAAGGGGGGCGAGCGUUGUUCGGAUUUACUGGGGCGUAAAAGGGCGCGUAGGCGGCGCCCGCAAGUCGCGUGUGAAAAGCCCCCGGGGCUCAACCUGGGGAGGGUGCGCGCGAGACUGUGGUGCUGGGAGGUUCGGGAGAGGGAGCGUGGAAUUCCCCAGUGUAGAGGGUGGAAAAUUCGUAGAUAUUUGGGGAAAGAACACC